CUGAAGUGAUCUGCCCACCUCGGCUUCCCAAAGUGCUGGGACUGCAGGUGUGAGCCACUGCGCCUGGCCCCUUCAGGUGGGUUUUGAGGCUUCACGUUGCUGCUGCAAUAAAUUACCACACACUUAGUGGCUUAAAACAGCACAGAGGUAUUCCCUUACAUUUCUGAAGGCCAGAAUUCUAAAAUCAGUCCCACUGAGUCAAGGUGGGAGCAGGGUCAGUGCCUUCCCAGGCUCUGCGGGAGAAUCUGUUUCCUGGCCCUGGAGGCGGCCUGUACUCCUUAGCUUGUGCUGCCCUUCUGGAAUGACUCGAGUUUCCUGCUUUCAUCACUACACCUCCCACCGCUCUCCAUCACCUGCUGUGCUCUUACGAGGAUCCAGCUGAGACAUGUUUUAGGAAGUUUGCUAAAAGACCCCUGGAGACGUCCUCAUUGUGGCCUCCCUGCUGUUGUGUUUAAUUUGGUUGAUCUUCUCUGCCCUCCUGCUUUUCAGAAUUAAAAGGCUAAAAAGAGUUUUCAGAGAAAUGGAAUAAUUGUAUUGCUGAUCUACGUAAACAAGUUGAAGAAUUGUCUGAAAGAAAAUAUGGUGUGUCUGAACUGGAAAAGUCCUGUGAUAGUUUGUUCAUGAGCAUUUACACAAUGGAGUUACUGUUCAUCAUGGGGGUACUGUGGACAAGCCCAGGGCUGCUGACAUAAUCUUAUGAAUUCAACACAUGAAGAUUUACAACUUGAUAAACCAGCUUCAGGAGAUCAGAACUUCUUACAAUACAACUGAUGUUACUCAGCCUAGAACAAAUACAACAGGGAUUGUGCUGCAUUCUGACUUAGGUUCUGCCAUCGAACACAGAAUGCCCUGAUCCUUAGAGGCAGAGGCAGCUCUUCAGCCUAUGGGGGCUGCUGUAAAAUAUUACAGGCAUGCUUUGAAGAUAUUACAGGUUUGGUUCCGCACCACUGCAGUAAAGUGAGUCACACACAUUUUUGUGUUACCCAGUGGAUAUAAAAGUUGUAUUUUGGGCCAGGCUCCCUCUGCAUCUCUGUGUUUCAGUUGGGGUAGGGUAAUUUUCUGUUCAGUUUGAAGAGCUCCCCCUGGUAUUUCUUCCCGUGGAUGUCUUCCCAUAACAAUGUUUUUUUCUCAU